CAGAAGGGUGGGGAGCGGGUGCAGCCGCGCAGGAUCCGUCGGCUCAUCGAGUCCACAUCGGCACGAGCACCGCACCUGAACACUCACUGUGCCGCCUCAUGCCGUCAUGGGCGCAGUCGUCGCUCGCCUCGCUCGCCGCGCGAGAUUUGGCGGCGCACAGAAGGCAUAGGAUCUCGGCAGGUGCUAGACAGCAGCUCUGCUAGGUGGUCACCGAUGGGGCGACGGCGUCGAUCUCGGCCUUGGCGAUGGCGGAAAGGACCGAGAGGGUCCGGCGUCAAGGUGGGCAGGUCCCGCGCCAACAGCAAGUAGAUGCCAUUCGCGCAAGCGGAGUUGGAAAACCCCCACACCCCACCCCACCCACCGGCAUCUGCAGCUUCCGUGCCCCCUCCUGCUCCUUCCUGCUCCCUAUUGCUGGCACCAUCAACCUUCCAUGGAUGAUGCCCUCAUUGUGUUCGAUCAAAUGUGCAUAAAGGCACACUGUUUCAGGCUCUCUGAUGCAGGCAGGAGGUGGCUAGCCCUUCCAGUAUAAAACAGUUAUGUGCUGAAGUGCAAACACUAAAAUUGGAGGAUCGUUAGCUCGGCCCUUUCUGAUUUCUUAUCUGAACUGAUGAAGAGUUACAAGACCUGUGUAGCAUCUUCAUUGUGAUGUCACUAUACCAUUCUCAAGUAUGGAUCUCUCGGAAAGGCAUCGUCAAGUGUGAUGUGUUUGGUCCUAUAUCCUAUGUUCGUUGGAGAGAUGAGCAUCUGGCAGUGGGUUUCUCAAGCAUUACGAAAACUUGCCUCUGUUCUGGACAAGCAGCUACUGCAAGAUGCUUGCUCCCUCUACCUGCAACCUGAACGAGUUUCUUUCAGCAAUAUUCAGAUUAAAAUACUAA